GUCAAAGCCAUCUGGAAACAAUCAGGGUAUCCUUGAUCGAGAGCCGGUCUUCAACUUGAGGAGAAGCUGCAGACGAGAGUUGAAAUGAUGGCAUACAAACCAUGGAUGGGGACAUCGGCCUCGAGAACUAAUCCCAAGAGUGACCAGAAGAAGAUGCCAGCCCAGUGGGACAAAUUCUGGAACACUUCAGGACUGGCCAUGUUAAUGUUGCAAAAGCAGCUUUAUUGUGAUCUCACAUCCUGGCCUGCCCAGACCCCCCCUCACCGAACUUCACCUCCCCUCCUCUGCUACACCAUUUCCUGAAGAGAUUAUUAAUUUCAGCAGCUGGCUGGGGUCUCUGAGGCCAAGUCGGCACACAUGUAUAAAUUACACUGGUCAACAAUUUUUGAGAAGUCGUCUGCUUCAGAGAUAAAAUGUGCUAUUUAUUAUGUAUUUUGAUGUGCUGAAUUCAAAUAUGAUAA